GCCGUGAUCGUCUAGUGGUUAGGACUCCACGUUGUGGCCGUGGCAACCCAGGUUCGAAUCCUGGUCUCGGCA